CUUUCUCAUUCUCAUCCCGGCUUGUUCGACCCAGUUGCAAUUCUCGCAGCUGCGGUGUGGUCCGAUACGGUCGAACAGCUGGGAAAGUGUCGGCGAGAGAGGCAACCGCAGCCCUCGCCGCUACUACUGUGGGUAGCAUUAGGAAACGCUUUCGGGGAAAAGCUGUCAAUCUGAAAUUCAUGAUUUUGGGCAACUAGCAAUUAAAAAUAGCAUAAGAACAUAAAGCAAGAAAGAAAGAACAGUAUGCACUUAAUCUGCACCCAAGAAAAGAGACUUGUUAAAGCCUUGAAGAACUCUGUGCAAUGGGACAAAGAAGAAAUGGAGAGAAAUCAAAUCCUACCGCAAUAUUUGACUGAACUACAGAUUAAGAAGUAAAAGGAAGGAAUAUAAAAUUGGUUGAUCAAGUUUAAGCAAGAUAUGUUGUUACUUUUGAUAACCUUUUAUGGACUUUCUACUAACACGACUGAAAAGAUGCUUUAUGGAUUUGUCCAUAAGAGAUGGGAUAUGUUUCCAUCAAUUGUUCCAUCAAUUAGAGGGGGUGAAGAAUCACUGUUUAUAUUUGUUGUGAUGAAGGUUGGAAGUCACUUCAAUAUAUUCUUUCUUUUCUUUUUUCUUGUACUUUUUACUCUUUUCUAUUAUUUUUUCUUGCAGAUUCAGUAUUAGAUUUUACUAUUAUAAUCAACAUUAGUUUGUAUAUAGAUAUAGAAAUAUAUAAAAGUAGAGCAAUCCUAUGAACCUAUGGGGUAUAUGUUGCAAAAAAUAAAUAUUAAUUCCUACUCUUACUUAAAUAGAUUAUUAAGAAGUAUAGAAAGACGAGACCCUUGUCAGUUCUACAUAGUCGACCUGAACUAAGUAACAUAGAACAGGACUACUUUUAUUGAAACUGCUAUAGUAACAGAAUCUUAUAAGUCUGAAUGUGCUCCCCCCUCCCUUACUUUAUAUUUGUGUGAAUUAAAAAGAGGCUUGUCUGAGACAUUUUCUCAAAUUACUUUCUUGACCUAGGCCCCCCUUAUUUGAUCAUUGCCUUGGUAGAAGCUCUUCCUCCGGUCUUUAAGGGCCAUUCCCUAUAACUCUAUACUCCUUUUUUUUUUUUAAUCUAACCUGCAGUUUGUGAUGAUUUUAUGAUCGUAGGUAGGUGGUCUUAGAAAUCAGUCAUAAAACAAA